AAAAACACAACAUCACCAUGAUGUUGGAACUUAAUUGACACAUUUUUUUUUGCUUUGCAAGAGAACUGGGUGACUUUCAUUGAGAACUUUGAAUCUUGGUCUCAAGACCAUAACCAUAGAACCAAGUUUUAUUUUUGUGAUGACAUUUCUUAAAACUCUAGAAUCUGAAGUGGUGCAAUUGCACAACUCCAAUGAAAUGCAUUGUGUGUGAUCUGUGACUGAGGGCUUAUUUUAAAACACACCUUCUCUCAACCAUACCUCACAAGUGACUGAUGGCACUGAACACGUUGGAAUUUGCCAUACACUGCUGCUAAGGUUUGAUGCAUUACUUCUUAUAUUGAAGAUCCCUAUCUUUCCAUGGGAUGACCCUCAGCAGCAGCAUUCCCUGUAUUUCGUGAUCACACUUCACAUAUCCUAUUUGGAGAAAUGUCUGUUUAGAUAAUUUACCAAUUUUAAUUCAUUAUUAUCAUUCUUAUUUUGCUGUUAAGUUCUAUGAGUUCCUUAUAUAUUCUGGAAAUUGAUCCUUGUCAGAUGAAUAGUUUGCACAUACUUUCUCCCUUUCAGUGGGUUGUCUCUUCACUCUGUUGAUGAUUUGCUAUAUAGAAGCUUUUUAGUUUAAUGUGAUUGAAUUUGUCAAUUUUUACUUUUUUGCCUGAGCUAUUGGAGUCUUAAUCAAACAUAUCUGCUGAGACCAAUUUCCUGAAGUGUCUCCCCACUACUUUCUUGAGGGCCUUACAGUGCCAGAGCUGCCCUACGUCCUACUGAGACGAUUGUACUCCUUGGGAGCCCACAAUGUCAGACUGGCCUGAGGGUUUCUCAGUACUCCCAGUCUCUGGCCUCAACUCAUUGUGGACUGCUCUCUGCUCACAGGUGUGGAAUCUACUGUCAGCUGACUGGGACUCUGUCUCCAUUCAAAUGGAUGGGCUGUGUAUAUGAAAAGCAGCUCUGCUACUCUUGUGGCCAGACAAGGCCUUCUGUGCUUUUCCAGAAUUACAUAGCUGCUUUCAGUUCUCCUUCUGGAUAAUACAAAGAAGGGCGUACACAAGGG
rnacentral:lncRNA from 1 species